rnacentral:misc_RNA from 1 species
AGCAUUCUCUUGCCAGCCGCCUUUCGAAGUGCAAUGCAGGAUAGACUAAGGGAAAUCGAGGGCACGCUUGCCCGAACAAAGGAGCGAAAAAAUACGAUCUUGUACAAGCUAUCUAAGCGGCGUCAAGAGGAAGAACGGCUUGCCAGGCUCGGCGUGGAAAGGCUUCCGACGAAUCCAAGCGAAGUGAACGAUGAAAAGGUCAUUAAAUAUGUCCUCUUCAGGCUGAAGCAGGAGAUCGGUGACAAAACGGCACAGCUGCGAGAUCAAAAGCUGCUUAGCAUUGACAGAGACGGCGAGGCCGUUAUUCGAGCAAAAAAUGAUGAAGUAAAUAAACUUCUCUCUCGGAAGUGUCAGUGGGAAGGGCGCCUAUCCUUUCUUGCAGGUGAAGAGAUCGCGCCGCGCUCGCGCAAAAAGAUUUUUAUUGGAUGUGCCAAAUAUCUCCCUGAAGCGUCAGUGGCGCGAAAGCGGCAGCGUGGAGAGAGCAUGCAGGAGGUGGAAGAAGAUGAGGUAGCUGAUAGCUCCGAGGAGGAUGAGCUAGUGCCCGAUCAACCGGAAACUGAGCAGCCUGCAACGCGAGAUCACGACUACCUUGAAAGCGUAAAGUGGUUGGGAUCGAGUGCUGCUGACAUGGACUUGGUUCGGUUUGAGCGUGAGGCGGAGGCGAGAAUGCGUGCAAAAGGAGAUAACAUUGUCUCUCGAACUGGCUCAAGCGCCCUUAUUCUCUCUUACUGCAAAGAGGGAAAAGUUAUGAUUCCGGACGAGGACCAUUUCAGGCAGCAGCUCGUAAACGAUCGCAAAAAAGUGCUGCAGGAGCGUUUGAACGCGCUUCGUGGGAAAAGUUGAAUGCUUUCUCAGUAUGUCUCGAUUGGGCUCGCGGAGCCCCUGCUUCUACCUUUUCUGCCGCAAGAUAUAAACGAAAAAAGUAAACGUGAAGCUCCCGUUGGACACUCUCCUUGGUUUCAUAUCGAAGUAGAGCAACUCCCCGGGGAUGCGAAGUGAGUUUGUUCGUUUCUCUCGACGCACUGCAGUGCGAAUGAUGUUUUAGCAGGUGGCUUAUUGCGGAAAAUGUAACGCAGCAGCUGUAGCGAGUCGUGAUGCCCGACUUCUUCGCGUUACAGUCUCAUAAGGAGACGCCGAUAACACGAUGAGCAAGCUCUUUCGCACCACCUCUAUGCAUUUUUGCUUCACUCUCUUUCGUCUUUUGCACCUUGGCUCGAUUAUUCUGAUGAAAG